AGCCCCACACAUAGAAUGCGAAGGUAUCCCUGUGAUGUAAUUGUUAACGGAACCGUUCGGAGCCCGGACAGGUCGCGAUUGAGGAGAUACGAGGUGGCGCUGGAAGCGGAGGAGGAUAUCUACUGGGGCUGCUUCUACUUUUUUCCUUGGCUGCGAAUGUGGCGCAGGGAGCGGAGCUCGGCGCACCCCCGGGAGCAGAAGCUGGAGCCUCUGCGGGGCCUAAUGAGCUGUUUGUCGAGCGGCCUGAGGCCUGCUCCCCAGCGCUCGGGUCGUGGUCUCCUCUGUCGCACCCCCACCGCUGCUGCACAGACAGCCGGUGCAUUAAAGAGUUAAAGUCACGCCCACUGCCUCCCUGACUUUACCACCGCAGACGCCAUUGGUGCUGGGAAUCCCACUCCACACCUGCUGUUUCUCAACCCACAGGGCAUCCCUCCCUGGUAGGAAGCCUUUCCAUGUGUAGGACUCCAUUGCUCCUAAGGGUCAGGCUUGUAAUUACUAUCAGUGACUGGCUCUCUGCCACGCCCUCCCCAAAAGCACCCACACUGAGAGUAGGCCACAUCUUUCCCCCACCUAUCAGUGUUCCCACAACUUCAGCUGUUACCACCUAACUCUAGCCAUAACUUUGCCAGAUGUCUGGAGAAUCCUCUUUUCCUGGGAGUGGAUAUAAAACAUUUUAGCCAAAGUUGAGGAGUCUGCUGUCAGUGAGAGGAAGGACCAGUUUCUAGAAGCUGUCUCCAGCAGUGUACCCCAGGAGAGUGACAAGGGUCGAGGGUCCAAGGUCCUUCCUAUAGUUAAAACCCCAAACUGGCUCCCCCAGUCUGAUCCCAAUUUUUUGUUUGUUUUUGUAUUUAAUUUUUUAAGUGUGUGUGUGUGUGUUUGUAAUGUGUGUGUGCCCACCACAAUGCAUGUGCAUGCAGAGAUCAGAGGGUAUGACCCUUUGUGAGGGUUUUUCAUCCAUAUGGCUUCCCGGGAUGGAAUUCAGGGUUUCAGGCUUGGCACCAUGGCCAUCCUGACAGCCCCAUCACCGUUUUAAAAGUCCUUGGUAUCAGCAAGAACUAGCAGUUUGCUAAGAAUCCUGAUACCCUAACCCCAUGAUUACUUUGUCCACCCAAAUCACUCUGGAACCUGUUAACCCUUACAGUGGGUGUGAAGGAAGAUGAGAUUUUAUAACUUGUUUAGGAGCCUACGGCCGGGAUCUGGGACUGAGAACAAAGCAGAACAGCCCCCAGGCAGGCCCAGACGGGGCUGUUGUUAAAGCAAUCCUAAGAACAUCUUGGCUGUAUAGAUAAAAAGGUAUUCAAGGACAAAUGGGCCUACAUUAUCUAAGCUAGCACCAUCUGGCUGAAAUCACCCCUCAAGCUGGGGACAGGCAAGGCCAUCUUAUCUAAGUCCACACCAUCUGGCGGGAACAUCCUGUCUCUCCCUUACCUCUUGGCGCCGAGUAAAGUCACAUAACUCAUCUGGUUGUUAGAUAAGUCCCAAGCCCACCGGAACAAAGCUCUAAUGCCCCCUUUUUCUGCUGACAUGUAAUCUUUCUGUUAAUGAAUCAACCCCGUGCCUUUUGUCAAAAUUCCUUGUAUUCCCAACCUCUUGCUUCUUUAAAAGCCCCUAGCUUCCGAGUCUCGCGGUCGAUUCCCCUGUCUCCUGCGCGAGGUACGUGUCGACCCAGAGCUCUGCCAAAUAAACCUCAUGCGUCUUGCAACAAGAGAGGAUUCUUGUGUUCGUGGGUGUUCCCUGUUCCUGGAUUAGAGCGGGAUCCCUAAAUUUGGGGUCCUACAGGUGAGAGUCAGACUGUCCUCAUAGUGUCCACCACAUAGACACACUGACUCCCAUUCCAGAACAGGCACCUGAGGAUUAUGCUAUGGAGACAGCCUGGAUCCUGGCUGAGCUCAAAGCUGACUUUUAGCCUGGCACUGCCUCUGUCAUAGCACACUGUGCUGGAAAAGAGGACUUGGCCUCCAUAUCUUUGGAGACGCCAAAAUAAGGAGAGAAGGGAAGCCAGGAAAAUGUUUCUGCCUUCCAAAGAUCUCUGGAUUGGCAAACCCAGGGGAGCUCACAUGGCAAGCAGUAUAGACAGGAUGGUGGAGUGGGGUGAGCGGGGCAGGCGAGGUGAAUGUCCUUAGAAUUUCUUUUUUGGUGAAACACCCAAGCCCUGGGACAAAGAUCUAGACCGGGCGUAAGAGAGAAGCUUCGGGUACCAAAACUUGAGGAUGCAUGGCCUCUGGCUCGUGGGUAACCUUCAAGUGUGCAAACUUUUAGCCAUUCCCUCACAAUUUCUGCAUCGAAGACACCUUCAAAUGCUUUGACUAGCCCUGGGUCCACAUCUUCCCAGACUGUCAUAAGACCUCUGAGAAAAUGUCCAAAAGGUGCCUAUGGGUCUUAACCCUGGUCAGGAGGAAGCAAGGCCUUUUCAGUUUAGCCAAAGAAACCGCUCGGAGGCAGUGGAAGUCCUAUCCCAAGAUCUCUACUCCAGAGGAUGGCUGGCCUCAGAGCAGGAAAUUCAGUCUCCAGAUAAGGGAUGGAUUCUUGGUGUUAUGACUCGGUUUAUAUUUUAAAUCCAGAGCAGAACUUGAGAAUUGAAAUCCCCAGAUUAGGAGCCUAGGCCAUUAGCCCAAUAAACACACCCCUACUCUAGGCCAUUUACAACUUUCCAGAAAGCAUUGACUCAAAAUGAAUAGGAAUUUUGCAUACAGAUCCAGCUAUACCCCAAGGCCCCACUGCAAUAAAUUUGGAUUUCCACAUUGAUUCCACCGAACCAUAUUAGUACAUACUUAUUUCUGAUGGAAAGAAGCAUAGGGUGGGUACAGGUGUUUGGGGUUUGGGGAAAUGGGUAUUUCUGAAGCUGGGUUCGGAAGGGUAUGUUCCUUCAAGCCCAGAAUGGAAAGACGGUAGAAUUUGAAUCAAACGAGACGACCUAACUUUGUUCUUGAGUCCGAUGUCUCCAACAAGCCAGAGACUAAGUCUGGAAGCCCCCAGCCUCCCACUGAGAAGCUGGCAUCCGUGGAACAAGACUAAGCAGAAGCAAGAAGCCUUGCCUCUGCCCUCCAGCACUAGCUGCUGUACUCAGCUCUAUAGACAGCCACUCCCAAGCAGGCUGCUGAGGAGGAUUGUCCACAUGGAACUGCAGGAGGCUGAUGGGGACUGUCACCUCCAGGCUGUCGUGCUUCACCUGGCUCGGCGCAGUGUCUGUGUUCAUCCCCAGAACCGCAGCCUGGCUCGGUGGUUAGAACGCCAAGGGAAAAGGCUCCAAGGAACUGUACCCAGUUUAAAUCUGGUACUACAAAAGAAAAUGUACUCACACCCCCAACAGCAAAACUAAUAAAGCAACAUUAGACGACAA